rnacentral:tRNA from 9 species
GGCCCCAUCGUCUAGUGGCCUAGGACACCAGGUUCUCAUCCUGGUAACCGGGGUUCAAAUCCCCGUGGAGUCACAA